AAAUUUAGCAAGCUUGCUAAGAAUCAAUACAACCUGCAAAAUAUUAUUAAAAUUUUGUUCAAACUUAUAUCGCAUUAGUACAAUAUCAUUCAAACAACAAUUUCUAAUUUAAAUAAUACAUUUGCUACUGAAAUUUCAUCAUGCUUGUAAAUAUCAAUAUUGAUCCAAUUUCAAGAAGCUGAAUCUCCCAUCUUUUACCCUCAUCUUCAGCUUACAUGGAUUGUGAGUUGUACAUUACAAAAAUUCACUCAACUUUUCCAAACCACACUAUAUGCCUUACAUUUAUAGUAAGUUCUACAUUACAAAAUUUUCACUUGGCACAACCCAUAUAGAGACAUACAAAGAAAUAUCAAUACAUAUUCAAAAGGGUGCCCCAAGUGUAAAAUUAUCUCUCAACAAAAGUACAAAAUAAACUAGAAUAUAAAAUACAAAAUAUAACAAAUACACUAAAUAGAUACACGAAAAAACUCAUUCAAAAUUCAUAUCACAAUAACUAGGACAUCAACCACCAACGAAACUUAAUAACAAAACAUCCAAACAUAUAUAACAAAAUAAAAAAACAACACCACAAAAAAUUUACAAUCACAUUCAUCAACGAAACAUCACAUUCGCAAACAAAAUCAACAUUCAUAAAAAAAUUACAAUUUUCCAACGAAACAUUACAUUCAAAACAAAUAUUACAAUAUUUCGACGAAACAUCACACAAUAACAAAAAAGAAUAACACACAUAUAUAACACAUUCAUCAAGCAAGACCAAUAAAAAAAAUU
rnacentral:lncRNA from 1 species